GGUCAAGCUACUAAGGGCGCAUGGUGGAUGCCUUGGCAGUAGGAGGCGAUGAAGGACGUGGCAAGCUGCGAUAAGCCUCGGGGAGCCGCAAGCAGGCUUUGAUCCGGGGAUGUCCGAAUGGGGAAACCCCACAUGGUAAAACCGUGUGACGGCCCGAUGAAUCCAUAGUCGGGUACGAGCGAACCCAGGGAAGUGAACCAUCUCAGUACCUGGAGGAAGAGAAAGAAACCUCGAUUCCGAAAGUAGUGGCGAGCGAAAUCGGAAGAGCCCAAACCCAACGAACCUUCGGGUUCGGUGGGGGUUGUAGGACCCGCAACAGUAGAGUUACCAAUCCAGCCGUUAGUCGAAGCCCUCUGGAAAGAGGCGCCACAGAGCAUGAAAGCUGCGUAGGCGAAAACGAUCUGGACUCGAAGCGGGCACCUGAGUACCGCGGGGCACGUGAAACCCUGCGGGAAUCUGCGGAGACCAUUCCGUAAGGCUAAAUACUACCUACUGACCGAUAGUGAACCAGUACCGUGAGGGAAAGGUGAAAAGAACCCCUGCGAGGGGAGUGAAAUAGUACCUGAAACCGUGUGCCUACAAGCAGUGGGAGGGCUAUGCCCGUAAGGGAAUGCCUGACCGCGUGCCUAUUGCAUAAUGAGCCGGCUAGUUAUUCUUGUCAGCGAGGUUAAGCGGAAGCGAGCCGUAGCGAAAGCGAGUCCUAAUAGGGCGUUCAGUUGGCAGGAAUAGACGCGAAGCGGGAUGAUCUACCCUUGGCCAGGUUGAAGGUGGGGUAACACCCACUGGAGGACCGAACCGGUGUAUGUUGAAAAAUGCUCGGAUGAGCUGAGGGUAGGAGUGAAAGGCCAAUCAAAUUCCGUGAUAGCUCGUUCUCUCCGAAAUAGCUUUAGGGCUAGCCUCAUGUGAUUUGCAGCGGUGGUAGAGAUCUGGAUGGACUAAGGGGCUUUCCAGCUUACUGAAUCCAACCAAACUUCGAAUGCCGUGGACAACCAGCAUGGGAGUCAGACUGUGGGGGCUAAGCUUCAUAGUCGAGAGGAAAACAGUCCAGACCAUCUGCUAAGGUCCCAAAAUUUCAGCUAAGUGGGAAAGGAUGUCGGAACGCCCAGACAGCCAGGAGGUUGGCUUAGAAGCAGCCAUCCUUUAAAGAAAGCGUAAUAGCUCACUGGUCAAGCGGUCCGGUGCCGAUAAUUCAACGGGGCUCAAGCUGAAUACCGAAGCAAUGGAUGCAUGGUUUUGACCAUGCGUGGUAGGAGAGCAUUCCCAGCGGUUUGAAGCGAGAUCGAAAGAACUCGUGGACUGCUGAGGAAGAGACCCUGCCGGCAUAAGUAGCGAUAACGGAGGUGAGAACCCUCCGCGCCGAAAGUCUAAGGUUUCCUGAGAAAGGUUAAUCCGCUCAGGGUUAGGCGGUCCCUAAGGUGAGGCCGAGAGGCGUAACUGAUGGACACCCGGUUAAUAUUCCGGGCCUUCCCUGAUUUCGUUAUCACGAUGGGGCGACGCAGAAGGAUAGGCGGGUCGUAACAUGACUAUUACGAUCGAUGCGUGCAAGCCGGAUCCGGUAGGCAAAUCCGCCGGGUCAUUAACGGUGAGACGCAAAGCAUACCCGUAUGGGGAAAAGCCGCUGAGUUCACGCUGCCAAGAAAAACCUCUAAGGAGAAAUUAGGGAAACCGUACCUCAAACCGACACAGGUAGACGAGGAGAAUAUCCAAAGGCGCUCGAGAGAAGGCUCGUUCAGGAACUAGGCAAAUUAACCCCGUAACUUCGGGAGAAGGGGUGCCACAAUAGGGUUUAAAGCCCGAAGUGGCCGCAGCGAAUCGCGCACGGCGACUGUUUAACAAAAACACAGGUCUCUGCAAAGUCGAAAACGACGUAUAGGGGCUGACGCCUGCCCGGUGCCGGAAGGUUAAAAGGAGAGGUUAGCCGCAAGGCGAAGCUUUGAAUUGAAGCCCCGGUGAACGGCGGCCGUAACUAUAACGGUCCUAAGGUAGCGAAAUUCCUUGUCGGGUAAGUUCCGACCUGCACGAAUGGCGUAACGAUCGUGCGACUGUCUUGACGAGUUUCUCGGCGAAUUUGUGGUACCGGUGAAGACGCCGGUUACCCGCACCUAGACGGAAAGACCCCGUGCACCUUUACUAUACCUUCACUAUGAACUAUGGCAUUUGCUGCGCAGGAUAGGUGGGAGGCUUUGAUUCCAGGCUUUCGGGUUUGGAGGAGCCAACGGUGAGAUACCACCCUGCGAAUUCUGUGGUUCUAACCUAUUCCCGUCAACCGGGAAAGGGACAUAGUGAGGCGGGUAGUUUGACUGGGGCGGUCGCCUCCUAAAUUGUAACGGAGGCGCGCGAAGCUACGCUCAGGCUGUUUGGAAAUCAGCCGUCGAGUGCAAAGGCAUAAGCGUGGUUAACUGCGAGUCCAACAAGACGAGCAGAUGCGAAAGCAGGCCUUAGUGAUCCGGUGGUUCUGCAUGGAAGGGCCAUCGCUCAACGGAUAAAAGGUACGCCGGGGAUAACAGGCUGAUCGCUGCCAAGAGUUCAUAUCGACGCAGCGGUUUGGCACCUCGAUGUCGGUUCAUCGCAUCCUGGAGCUGUAGAAGGUUCCAAGGGUUAGGCUGUUCGCCUAUUAAAGCGGUACGUGAACUGGGUUCAGAACGUCGCGAGACAGUUCGGUCCCUAUCUGGUGUGGGCGUAGGAGAUUUGAGUGGGUCUGUCCUUAGUACGAGAGGACCGGGAUGGACGAACCUCUUGUGUUCCAGUUGUCGUGUCAGCGGCAUGGCUGGGUAGCGAAGUUCGGUUGUGAUAAACGCUGAAUGCAUAUAAGCGUGAAGCACUCCACAAGAUGAGAUCUCCCAACCCUAAGGGUGAAGAAGGGCACAGGAAGACCACCUGUUUGAUAGGCUGGAUGUGUAAGAGCAGUAAUGCUUUGAGCUUACCAGUACUAAUCGCCCGUUCGGCUUGACCAU
rnacentral:rRNA from 1 species